AGGUUGUUAUUUUAGGUUAUAUGCUAGAAUAGGUUAGGUUAAGUUAAAUUACAUCAUAUUAGGCAGUUUAGGUUAGUUUAGCGUUUGUGUAUAUAAUAAUUAGAAAAAAUAAGCUAUGAUAUCUAAUCUUCAUGGUCAAUACAUCAUGGUAUAUUAAGGAAUGAUAAUGAUGGGUGUAUUUCCCUACAGGGGACACUGUUUAUGGCAUGUAUUGAGGGAUGCCAUCAUGACCCGAGGUACUGGGAGCGACCACAAGACUUCAACCCUGACCAUUUCCUCGACCAACAGGGGAAACUCCUCAACAAGAAAGAUGGAUUCUUGCCCUUUUCUUUAGGUCGACGUCAGUGUUUGGGAGAAUCUCUGGCCCGCAUGGAGUUGUUUAUCUUCGUGUCGGCGCUGUUGCAGAGGUUCACCAUCUCGCCUCCCCCUAACGUGCAGCUCUCGACGGACAGUGAUCCCUCCAAACCUUUCUUCAAUUUUGCUAAACCCUAUAAAGUGAUCUUGGCCAAGCGAGGCUAAACAAAGAAGCCUUAAGAGAUGAUAGAUAGAGGAUUCAAUCGCUAGAGGAUUAGACUGACAGAUUGAGGAUAGGAUUGAUAGAAGAUUAGACUGACAGAUUGAGGAUAGGAUUGAUAGAAGAUUAGACUGACAGAUUGAGGAUAGGAUUGAUAGAAGAUUAGACUGACAGAUUGAGGAUAGGAUUGAUAGAAGAUUAGACUGACAGAUUGAGGAUAGGAUUGAUAGAAGAUUAGACUGACAGAUUGAGGAUAGGAUUGAUAGAAGAUUAGACUGACAGAUUGAGGAUAGGAUUGAUAGAAGAUUAGACUGACAGAUUGAGGAUUAGACUGAUAGAUAGAGGAUUAGAUCGAAUGUUAAAGGAUUUGGCUGAUAUAUAGAGGAUUUGGUUGAUAGAUAAAGGAUUCGACGGUUAGAUAGAGGAUUAUAACUGAUAGAAGAUUAGACUGAUAGAAAAGGGAUUCGACUGAUAAAUAGAGAAUUAGACUUAUAGAUGGAGGAUUAGACUGAUAGAUAGAUGAUUAGUCUGAUAGAUAUAUGGUUAGAUUGAUAGAUAAAGGAUUAGAUUAAUAGAUAAAGGAAAUUUUGCCUAUUUUCCGAGACACAUGUUCUUAGUGUUCACCAGAAGGCUUUAUGAGCACCACCUUGAUUGUUUUUAACUACAGGGUGAGCGAGGAUUCCCUGUCUACCUGUCGUGAAUAAUAAUACACACCUGUAGUUAGGUUGUUCCUCGUUAUACCUACACUGUUAUAAAUAGAUCAAGGUAAAUAACUGUACUGGUAAUAGCUGCAGGUGUACAAGGACUUUUGAAUUAUCCUGUAUUAUAGUAGUUUUUUUUGUUUAUAAUGAUAUGUUAUUAUAGUUUUGGUUGAAAUUAACAAUAAUGUAAUGUCAGGGGUGGUUUGUAGGUAUUAGGGGGUCGAUUUUUAUGUGGUAGUAUUCUUUGGUGAUGUUCAAUGUGUAAUGAUCAUUGUGUGUUGUGUGAGUCUUCUACAGUACUUAUCCCCUCGAAUACAAUGAUUUAACUUCUUUAGUACAAUGACUUAACCCCUUGAGUAAAUGACUUAACCCCUUGAAUACAAUGACUUGACCCCUUGAGCACAGUGACUUAUGACUUAACUACGAUAAUUUAACCUCUUGAGUAAGAUGAUCUAAUCCUUUGAGUACAAUGACUUGACUCCUUGACUAGAAUAACUUAACACCUUCAAUACAAUGACUCAAGGGUUAAGUCACCGUUCUCAAUGGGUUAGGAUAUUAUCAGCAGAACAAAAGAAUAAGAAACUUAAUAAUACGUAAUAUGAUUCACAAUCUCAAAUAAAUAGACAACCCAAGUUCACACCAAACCUAACCUAACCUGACCUGACCUAACCUAACCGUCCUAUAGUGAGUUGGGAGCAGUCACAUAUGGUGACGCCUUGGUUGACGUUUGAUUGUUUAAUUUUUUUGAGGAUAGUUGUCAGGCUAAGUCUUUUCUGUGGCCAGGUAUAAUAAAAUGAAUGCCCUAUAUUUUCAUAGUACUCCAAAAUAUAGGUGUUAUAGCAAAAAAAAAAUAUUACAAGGAAACACCAGGCUUUUCGCUGAUGACAUGGACGAAGCAACUCCACUUUUUUUUACUUUUUAGCAAUUUAAAGAUCUUUCUUUUGCCAGACCUGGCAAAGUGAAUAUCUGAGGAUACUCGGGAAAACUAGAUAUUGUCUUACAAUGUACACUUAAGAAAAUAGAGCAAAUAUCUCUCGGUGUUAAACACCACGACCGUCGCUGGUAAAUUAAGUUAUGUAACCAUGUUUUUCUUAUAUUAUUGUUUUGUUUUUUGUCAGACGUGGCAAGAACAAUGUAUAAUGGUCUUCUGAAUGACCUGAUAUUGACUGAUAUUGCAGAAUUAAGAAACUACAAGAAAUCUUCCCUCACGUCCUAAAUUAAGCACAGUGUUGACACCUGAAACCCACGUACCGAUGAACAUAACUUUCAUUUUUUGAAGAUUAUCAAAUAUAUUCGGAGUUCUUUUUGGCUACAUAUGGGAAGACGAAUGUCUCACCUUCCUGUAGAUACCUGGAUAUCUACAUACAUUCCAGUUAAACUAAUGUAUCGUUAAAAAGGACUUCUUUACUUAAGGAGUACACCCUAUGAGAAGUAUUAUGUGCUGAUAUUGAGGCUAAGUCCCAUCUCUUCUUAUCUGGUCGCUCCUGUUUUUGAAACUGAGCUAAUGCAACCCAUUUCCUAUGCCAAAGGAACUAGUAUGAAGUAGUACGAAUGAGAAAUGACAUAUUUCCUGAUUUUAUAUAGCAAGGACUAGAAUGCUUGAACACAGAUAAUACAAUACAUGCUGCACCAGAUUUUGCCGUAGGAAGUUGUCGGGUCGGUACACUCCUUGGAUACAAUGGUGUAAUUUUUAUUGGUGACACUCUUAACUACACUGUCUUUACUCUGUACUCAAGUCAAGAUGAUGCCUGUUUACAACAGUCAUACCACGAUUCUGUGCAUUAUGGGUAAAUCAAAUGUUUGAAAUAUCCUUACUAGGAUAUGAUCCUUGAUCUAACCUAACCUAAACUAACCUAGCCUAACCUAACCUAACCUAACCAAACAUAACCUAACCAAACCUAACCUAUCCUAACCUAACCUAACCAAACCUAACCUAACCUAACCAAACCUAACCUAACCAAACAUAACCUAACCACCCAAACCAAACCAAACCAAACCUAACCUAACAUGACCUGACGUUUCAAGCCAGUCAAAGGUCAAAUAUAAUCCACAACCAUAUGAAAUGAAUUUUUCUCUGUAAUUCUGGCUGUAAUUUAGUUAAGUCUAUUAUAAAGUUACAAUGAAACCUCCACAUAACGAAUUUUCCUCUCCAUAUAAUGUAAUCCGUGAGAUGGGAUUUUCACGUCUAAUAAACCCCGGUAUAACGCCUUUUCAUCUUCAUGUAACACACAUUCCUCUCCAUAUAGUCCUAUAAAUAGAGGAUUUACUGUACUUGAGAUUGAAUUAGAAAUGUUUAUCUAGCUAGAAGGGCAGUACAUUCUUUGUUUGUUUGGCCUUUUGAGUGUAAAUAAUGUGGUCUGGUAAAGUCAAUGUCCUUAUAGAAGUUGUCAUGACGGUAGACAAUAACAGUAAAUAAAACUACUUUAACAAGUAA
rnacentral:lncRNA from 1 species